UCACCCACCCUUCUGGCUGAUGUAAUGAUGACUAGGAAGGUGACCUUCAUAGAUCGGUGACCAAGUAAAUGUGGAAAGUAUGAGACUGAGGUCCCAAUGUGACACUGGCUUCAUUACUGGUGGAAAGGUCUUAGUCAAACCCUUAGGAAUCUGGUUGAUACCAAAUGAGUAAAAAUAUAAUGGUUAUCUAUUGAAGGAUGGCAUGCAUUGAUUGCUGCUCAGUGGACCCACAGCAAGCUAAUGGAAAGACCUGACAUCUUGAGAGUGAGGAAGUAGUUUAAGAUAUCAGGCAUACCUGCUGACCCUGAUGAUAAGUGGUUCUGUUGCACCCAAAUAGGGAAAUGCUUCCAUUGGCUAGAUAACACUUUCUAGUAGAAUGUUUCCUGCUGUGAUUAAGAGUAGUUUGUUUGGCCUCAGAACAUUAACGGCCAAAGCGUGAUGCACGCCCACAUACCAGCCCAUGAGGUAAAGAGAGCCCAGGUUGGGAUGUCUGGUCUUGCCAUUGUCCUCCGUUAGCUUGGAGUUUGUGAGUGACUUGAUUUAUCAGACUGCUCAUGGAAUGGAAUCUGUUCAAAGGGAGGUAAGCCUUGCUGUGGUUGAAUUCAAGGUCACUCUUAUAAAGUCUAUGAUCUGUGUGGGAGUCAGAAUAGAGUCUUCCAUGUUUACACAGAUUCCCAAGAAUGCAAAGAGGUCCAGUUGCCAACUGAACUUCUAGAUGGGUAUUUGCCUGUUAAAGGCCAAUCUUAACAUAGGGGAAGAUGGUGUAAACAUUUUGUCUUAUCUGUGCUGCCAUCACUAAGAAGACCUUCAUAAAGACCUGGGGUGCUGUUGCCAGACCCAGGCAGUGGAGAAAGAGAAACUUGAUGGUGUAGCCAAAGUGGAUGAUAUCUGUUAUACGUCUCCACUUGUGGGCACAGAAUGCUGGAUGGCCACCAAAACAGACUUCAGAAACAGGCGGGGAUGGCAUAAUUAUUAGGUCACAACUUCCAAGUGUCCUGUCAAACGUAACCUUUCCCAGGUGUAUGACAUUCAGAUUGAAGUGCAUGAGGCUGCAUACUUUGGUCUCUGUGCCCUUUGAUGCUAGUGUGGCAGUCUGUAUGGUGGUUGGUGGUAGAAACUCUGUGGAAGACGCCGUGACUUUUAUACCUGUUUAUGGUGCUUCCUCUUCAAGGCCAGAGCAUACAUGUCCGGUAAGGUGAGGGUUGUCCUGAAGUCUUUUAACAAGGGCAAAGACUCAUCCAUUUUCUUGUUGAAGAGAUUAGUUUUAUCAAAGGGCAAGUCCUCAGGGGAGUUCUAAACCUCCCUGGGGAACUCUGAAGCGUGAAACCAUGACACUUGCUAUAGAUCCUGAUGCAGUAUUGGCUGCAGCCACCUGUAUCUGGUCAAAUUUAAAAUGAUAUACAAAGGAUUCAGUGAAGAAAGCUUUUAUAUAUGUAAUAUCAUUAUUGUGCCUUAGUCCAUAAGACCCCAAAUCAUCAAGCCUCUUAAACAUGUGCCCAGGUUUAAGCACAUGAGUUUAAUAAGUCUACUCAUGUCUUUAAAGGUAAGCAUAUGCUUAGGGUACCUAUGGGAUUGGAAACCAAACACAGCAAUAGUUUCUGAAGCAAAAAUUACUGGUCAGCAAGGAAGAAAGUUGUCAUUCACACACUUUCAACAACUGGAUUGCAUUUGGCAAUCCAAAAGUGAAACCAACAAAUAAACUACAUAUAACAGAACUCAUAUGUAUUUUAUAAAUAUAUAUAUUAAUACCAAACAUGAAUUCUGAUUAAUUCAAUCAAGGGGGCCUAUGUUGGACUUCCAGAUUCUUGAGGGCCCAGAAUUUUUUAUGGUGGUCCUGAUGAUAUAGCUGUGGUUGUUUCCCUGCUUUUUUUUGUAAAGUGCCUCUAGGCUUUUCAUACAUUUUAAACAUUUGUGAAACAUAAGAUUGCUUGCAAAACCAUCCGUCCUCUGCUUGCUUGUGAUUGCAAUGCCUGACAAAUAGUCUUUGUUUUCUUUUGCAGUGUCUCUUCUUUCACAGGCCCCACCAGCAGUGUUCCAAAAUUUCAUAAUGUUUUUCCUAAUGUUUAUUUAUAGUUUAUGGGAAUCAAUGCAAACCUUAUGUUUCAGAAGGGCCAUGUGACAGUGUUUUCUUCUUUUAACAAAACCACCAAAUUUCCAAUUUAAACACACUUCCAUAGCUAAGGAUUGAUUUAAACCUGUGUUAUUCUCUCUAUAUUUUUUUUAAAGCCUUGUCAAAAAGUCAAGAAAGACAGGAUCUCUGUCUAGUCAUAGUGCUGGUGCAAGCAGUGAAAUGUGAGUCCCUCAUUCAUGUAACCCUGACCUGGGAAGAUGACCAACUCUAGGGGUAGGAGAUAAUUUAAUUUCCAUGCAUGUCAAGUUCUAUUUUGCUUAUUCAGAGAGACAGCAGAGAAGUGUCGAAUUCUGCAAAAUAAGGUGUUCUGGUUUGGUGAUGCAGAAUAACCUCCUCUAUGGGGCUGAGCUUAAAUCACCAAGUUUAAUUCUCUUCAGACCCUGGGGUGGGCCUGAAACCAGAUUGUGAAGUUUUUAAAAAAAAGUUCUUGUAAACUAUUUAGUUCCCAACAUAAUGGGUUUUAUUUUGUUAUAUUUUAUAUUUAUGAAUCAGCAAAGGAACUUUGAGGGUUGGGAGUGAGGGUCACAGUUCAAACAUUUGGAUUUGCUAUUUCAUAGUUCUCAGUACAAAGGAAGUGGUUAAAAACAUUAAUCUGGAGCUCUGAUAUUUUGUAACUGGAACUCAAGAUGAGACUAAAACAAACAAGGUACCUGGAUUUGCUCAUUUUCCCCAGGGUACAAAUCAUUUUAUCAUGUGGGGCUUUAAAAAAAAUUCCUUUGGUUCUAGGGAUGGGCAAACCUUGUGGAAUUCAAGGUGUUAUGAACCUCUCAAAGUAAUUUUUCGGCUCAUGAAGUAAAUAUUUCCCCCCCACCCCCUGCUGUUCCCCACUUCUAUAAUUCAAACCUAUGUUGUUGGGUUUGUCCUUGAGUAAUGACUGAGUUGCUUUUUCUUUUUUCUAACUAAGAGAAAAUCUGUUGAAUGUUUUAGGAGUAGACGCCUCCCCCCAUAAAACCUAUUCAUGUACAGUUGGGUGUCCUCAGUACAUUAAAAUCUUUACAGAUGCCUUUGCAAGUAACUAAGUUUCCCACGGUAGUCACAAUAUUUCUUAUAUAAAUACGGGGCUCAACCCUGCAAGUUAUUGAGCUCUUUGGCCAUGAUCCAGUAAGGCAAGGGGACUACUCAUAUGCAUAAAGUUAAGUACAUACUUAAACACUUUGCUUAUUGCUCAACACCUUGCAGGAUCAAUACCACAGAGCAUGUUGCUUUAACAUUAUAUACUGGCAAAGGCAAAAUGAUAAAGCGUUUAAUGGUGACAUUUACAGAAUACAUCUAUUGUGUUUGUUUCUUCAUUCCUAUUUUUCUCUUAUUCCCUUUCUGUUCCAUUUUUCAUUAUGAGGCAUCUCCUCCACUGACUUCAAUGGAGCUAUGACAAUUUAUACCAGCUGAGGAUUUGACUCCAUACAUUUUAUAUGAAUAUAUUUCCUCCCUGCGCCUCCCUUGAAGGUGUGUGCUAAGUGUAAUAUGAAGUUUCAAAUCCAUGAUUUUACAGUGGAUCCCAAAUUAGGCCAAAAAACGUUUGACUAUCCCUAAGCACACACCAUUUUGCUUCCGUCUGAAUUAGAGACACCAUUAAAUUGAAAAUCACAAUUCCACUUAGAAAUUUUGUCUUUGCUAUUAUUAUUAUUAAGUAACCAACAGAAAAGUAGAAUAUUCAUUUUUUUAACCUAGUCUAUAGAAGGUUUCAUUGUUUUGCCAGUAGUGCACACCCUUCCUGAGACUCUGCAAGAAGGUGUUUAAUGAUGACUGCAGCAGCAAUGGUGAAACUAAGGAAGCAGUCAAUGGGAAUGUGCACAGAGAGAAAAGACAGUGGGAAUGAAAGAAAGCCUAUGUCAGUGGUAGCAUUCUCUGAUCCGCCCAAAGACCUUUUUAAACAUUGAGGGAAGAAGAAAAUCCUCUAAUUAAAAUAAAUAAAAGAAAUACAAUUGCUACGUAAAGCUUGCUCCAUCAGAAAACUGAUUAAAAAAAAAUCAUUCAAUUAAAAAAAUUCAUGUUGAUAGUGUCCCUUGUUCUUUGGAUCUGUUAGUAGUAGCUAUAGUCUUGGGGUAAAAUUGAAGUCAAUGGCAAAAUUCUUGUUGACUUUAAUGGUGCCAUCCCCGGAGUGUAUAAUUUCACCUGCAACAGAGCUCAAUAUUAUUCAAAGGAAUUCACUGUUCAGGUAAGGAAAUAUGCUGCAAUACAGAGAUGUUAAGACUCAAGGACUUUGUUGUUCGUUAGAAGGGAAUCUUACGUCUUUUAGUAACCGUGGUUUCCAAAGAACCCUAGCUUUUUAUACAUAAGUAGAAUAGAGUAUGUACAUUAUGUAGGCUAUAAAAUUGAUCCUUCAGUGACCUCUCAUGCCAAAUUCUGUUUUCAGUUACUCCAGUGCAAGCCCACUGAAGUUAGCAAGAAUGCCCCAGAGAAGCUAAGCAGAAUUUGGUCCUGUGCUUGCAAGGUAUGCAGAAAGUCACUUCCAGCUGAGACAAGAUUAGCAGUUCCUACCGGGUUGGCCAGAGGAAGUCAUCUCCUGUUUGCCUCACACAGUAGAAAUGAUGUAUAAAAUCCAGGAAGAUCCUGGUAAAAAGAAAAGAAGGGCUGCAAUAGCAUACAGCAUGCACAGAUAUUGAAUCUAGCUACAGGUGUGGGUUGGGGUGCCCCACUAAUUGAGCAAGUCUGCUAUACUUUCUGACCACCAAUUGGCUUGCAUAAAAUGCCUGGCAGCUUUUAAAAAACAUUGACAUUGUGCUUCUCUGUUAUUUUGUAAUGUCAUCAGUGUGGGAUAGCCAAAUACAGAUGUAUUCAGUCAUUCUCUUUCCUAUUUUUAUUCUGUAAAGAAAGCCAGCAGGAAAUGUAAACUGCUUCUGCUUGCUGUGGAUUUCUUUUAAAGAAAAUGCAUUUAGAAAUGACACUCAAAACCACAUAUAAUUGAAUAUUUCAUAUUCUUCUGAUCUGAGGAUCUAUCUAUCUAUACAUCCAUCCCCACAGGUGUGUUAGGUGCUUGAAAUUAUAAAAGACAGGUUCCUGCCCCAAAGGUUUUACAAUCGAAGGACUAAAUUCUGGCACCCUUACUAACACUGAGUAGUAGUAUUUCAUGUAAGCAGUUCCACGGAAUUCAGUGCCUACUUACGUGAGUAAUUAAUAUUCAUUGUCAGUCAUGGUGCAAGAAUCUAGACAAAGACUCCUAAGGGGUAUCAAAGAAAAGCAGGGCAGAGUAUUAGAAGAAUGAGACUUGCAGUAAAAAAUUCUUACGGUAUGCUUUUGUUAUAUACAUGUUUUGUGGGUUCCUUUUUUCUUUUAUCAAUAGAAGUUCAUGGUUUAGUGGGUGUUUUAGGUUUUUUCUUUGUUGUAACUGAAUUUAUGGUUUGUGGGAACAACAUAAGGCCCUGAGUCAGCAAGGUGCUUCAAAGUCAAUGGGACUGCUUACACACUUUGGUGAGCUGGGGCGUCAGGCAGUAGGACUAGGCUAGUGGAGGAGAGGCCAGGUUUGUAAGCCUUACUAAAAAGAAAUGAGUCUGGUAGGAUUUGAAGGAGAAGAUUCAGGUGCAUAAUCGUAACAGUAGCUGAACUGGAAAGCUUUGUAAAAUAAUCAUGGAAGUAAAUGGUAAAAUAGGAUUUCAAUGGGUUUUGGAUUGAGCACCAAAUCCGUUAGUCAUUCCAUGUAUGGAACUCCCGUAAAAAUCCAUGGGAAUUUUGCUAGUGAGGAACUGCUGGAUUGGCUCCUUUUAAGAUAGGUUCAUAGGUACCAAACAAACUACCUCUGUAGUAUUUUUCGUUUUAAAUAGAACAAGCAAGCUCACAAGUCAAGUAUUUCCGAGGUCAUUGAGCUCCUUUUGUAAUUGUCUCCUGUGUGCUGUGUUUAGCUAUUUGGGGUUUCUUGUGAAAGAAGGAAAUUAAAUUGAUUUGAUUGCCUAGAAUACAAUAUAUACCAAUAGGCUGGCCAUCAUUGAUUUUAUUAGUGUUCUAUGACUUUCACCAGUCUACAUAAAUUUAUAAAUGGCAAAAGCACAUGCAAGACAAUAUCAGAGCUUUUAUAUCAUACAAGUGUUGACCUUUCCCCUGCUUCCCCUGCAUUUGUUGUUUGUGGUAACUAUAAUGAUAUUAUAAGGGGUUUAUGACUGACCUUGAUGUUUUGCUUAUUAGUUUGAAACAAGCACCGGGGGCAAGUUGGUGAACAUAAGUAAUUGGGUUAUAAGGCUUGCUAUGUUAAGGAUUUGUUGUAUUAGUAUGAGGCCUAUCGGAGUUUAUGCUAAAGGCUGGGUUUUAGCUAACCUAGUACAGUCCAGAAGGUCAUAAUUUUUAAAUUUCAUUCAGAGAAGGUAAAUAAGAGACCAAAGAAGGGACAAUGCACUGUAAAAUUCUGUAAUAGGGGAGUUUGAGGGUGGGGGGUUGCAGUUAGGUUGCUAGGCAAUAGGUAAGUAGUUAGACUACACUGACAUGCACAGGAAUUAUUAGGGAAAGAUUGAGAAAAGAUUGACACAAGUGUUAAUUAUGGACACAGAAUGCCACAGAUGGAAUAGGGGCAGGCAUUAUGAUGAUUCGGUACUAGAACAAAUAUGGAUAUACAUCUGUGAUAUCUGCAUAAUGUGGGGUAUAAGACACCAUGCCUAGUUCCCUUUUCUUGCUUUCUCUCCGGCUCUGAACUGAUGUCAACUGGAUCUGGGGCCUUCGGAGUUUCUCCACUUACUACUGUUUCACCCCUGUAUUUUGCUCGUCUAUUCGAGUAUCUCUGUGAUAGGAGACCCCCACCAUCUCAAAAUCUGUGAGAGCAGGAAAGAGAAGACCUCCUUCCACCACAGUUCAUUCUGGAAGCAGAAUCAGGAAGAAAGCAAGGAGGUGGCACUAGAAGAAAGAUGCUGAAUAAAUGUACUUGAGCUUCCACCAAGGAUGAUCUCUUGAAGACAGUGAAGGUACUAUCACUGUAGAGGACAAAAGAAGUCAGUGUUGCAAGCUUUGCUUUGCACCUAGCAGAAAUUAAAGGCCCUGUUGUCAAUCUACCUCCCAGCUGCCUUUCUACUCCAGACAGGAUGAACCCUGUGCCCACCCUACACCUGGUUUGGAGUACGUUCUCCAUUGAGGAGCAGAGCCAAGGUUCCACCCAGUCUAUGUGUGAGGUGAGACAUAGGUUCCAUGGUGGUUGCUCUCCUCUCCAACCUUAUGCAAUAUGGGUACCUGGUGCUGGGGCCUAAGGACACCUUGAACCCCAGGCAUUAUCUGGUUUUAACUGAGGUUCUCAUGUUCUGCUUUGUGUAUUAUAGCAGGGUGCACAUUCUUAGCUCAGACAUAACUGGGCCUCUUUUCAUCUGAAACCCUUUGUGCACUCAGUUAAGGUCACUUGUAUUUCUAGCUUCUUAUUGCCCACUUGAAUCAAGUACUUUGUGGCUGAAAUUAACAUCACUUUGAUAUCAAAUAGAUGCAGGCACAAAACUGCAAUUGCACUUAUUUGUGAUUUGCAGUUUACUGGUGUGAAAAUAGAGACUAGCUUUACAAAAUCUGGCUCUUCAUUUACAAGGAAAUGAUAGUAAUUUAUUCAAAGAGUUGAACUGAUCCUGAUAGCUUUUUAGUGUUCUGAGGGGAAAAAUAUUUUCCCCUUUCAUAACAAUAGGUGUUCUCAUGUUUUUAUACCUAAUCUCUCUCUAGCAACAAAGUAUAAAUUGUUUUGAAAUUUACAAUGCUGCAACUAUAAAUAAGGGUGUGUUGGCCAUUCUUUCCUUAGGGGCACAAGAACUGGUCUGUUAGGCUAAAGAUUUUGAAGUUUAUUUUCAGGAUAUGUUACAGUAUUAUAAUGCAUGACCACUGACCCACAGUCAGCAUACAUAAUAGAAAAGUCUCAAACUUUAGCUCAAUUCAAAUCUCUGUCACUUGAGAUUAAGGAAAAUCUCGCUCUCCACAAGAGCAGGGCUUUUAUUUAUCUUUUGGCCAGCCACUAGAGGGUGGCACAACCAGGAAAUGAUAAACAUUUGAGCAGGUCCGUCUAAUAAAGAGAGGAGCGAAGGCAGAAUAUUACAAUAUCAUAUUUAUCAGAUCAGCCAUGGUUAUACUCUUGAUCUGGGGUGGAGGGGAAAUAAUGUGAGAAAGUAAAAAAAGAAAUAAACUAGUGAUUGGGCUAAACAAUACAAACAUAUUGCAGACGGCCAGAAAUACAAGAUUGAAAAAUGAACUCAAACUGACAUGAAAAAAAAAAUGACUCCCAGAUGACAUGCAGGCAUAAUCGUUUCUGACUGAAGAGCGUAAGCUCAGUUCCUCCACUGAUUCAUCAGAAACCUUAUCCUGGAAGGAGACGUAAUACACAUUUUUUCUACCUAAAACAGGAUAAAAAUGCUAGGAUAGCUUCAGCAGUUCACUUCCUCAAGCCACCACCACCUGAAUGGAAAAUUUAGAGAACUGACCUGAAAGCUGGCCACCACCUAUGCUGGUAAUACCAAAAGACAUAACAAAGACCAUUAACCGUCUUCCUUUUUCAAACCAGAAGGGAGCCCAUUUUGUGUUACUGGAACUCAACUCCUAAAGCACUCUGUCUUACGAUGGAGUUAGACUAGAAUGCCCAAGGGACUGUUUAUCUUGACACCCAGGCAAGCUGGACUAUAUAAAUAGAUGGUCACUUACACCAAAAAAAUUGCAAUACUCAAUUUACUGCUAAAGAACCAGUCACUUACUGCAGGUCAACUGUAUUCACAUCAAACCAAACAAUACCUGUAAUAAAUCUUUAGUUAGUUUUAACUACAAAAAUAAAUGUUAUUUACAAAGUUAAAACAGGAAACACAAAUGAGUUACAGUCAGAGAUUUAUAAGGUAAUAUAAGCUGCUAUAAUUAACUCUAUACAUCCUUUAAGGCGGACCUGUGCAAAGCAGCAUGGGAAUCUCUUGCUUAUGUUUAGGCAUCUUUGCCCCUCAGAGUCCAGACAGUAUAAAGGUCCCAGUUUCUCCUUGUCAGGGAUUUUUAUCCCCUUCAGCCCAGAAUCCAAGCUGAAGGGAUGAGUUCAUGCACAAGUCUCCCCUUCCUUGAGGGAGGUAGGAAUGCAGUCUAUAAGGUUCCUGUCCUUUGAUGCUACACGAUGCCUCUUUUGCAGGAUGAGCACUUUCACCAAACAGGAAAAGAUGCAUUAAAUGUGGUAAUCACACAAUUAGAGAUUUACAUGCAAACAUUCAAUAUAACUUUAUACCAUGGGAUACAGAUAUUAUAAGUAGGAUUAAUACAUGAAGCAUCCAACAAGCAUUUUUAAUAUCUAUAUAUAUUGUUAUAAUACUAAUAUCUAUUUUAACUAUACAAACCCUACAGGUAAGCCAGACUGGUUUCCAGCUGUGCAUUUGUCAGUAUUCAGUGACGCACUGGGCCAUUGGCUUGAGCUGACACCUGGCCUGCCAGCAUCACAGCAAAUUUAAAGGAAAUGACCAAACUACAACUGGAAAAUGAGUAACUGCAGUUCCAGCUGGUGUUCAUGAUGAAAUGAAUUCUGAGAAGUGUCGCAUACUUGUUCCUUUUGGAUAAUGACUCAAUUAUUUUCUCCAUAAUAGGUACUUAAUUAACAAAGUCACACAAUCAGGUUCUUGUAAUUCAGGGGUUCUCAGACCGGCACAUCCCUCGGCCUGUGCCACCUCCCGCAGCCCCCAUUGGCCUGGAGCGGCGAACCGCAAACAGUGGGAGUCACGAUCGGCCGAACC